rnacentral:misc_RNA from 1 species
CUGCCCUGGUCCGCCUCGGCUUCUCGAUCUGACGAGGGAGGCAUUUUGUUCCGUUGGAAAUCAUCCCUGACAGCUAGAAGAGCGGGCGGGCGGGCGGAAUCGACAGCCGGAGCCGCGACAAGAGCUGUGGGAUCUGUAUUCAUCAAUGCGGUGGCCCUGAGGUUUGCCGUCGCAGGAAGAAAUGGCGUGGAAGUCAUGUGGUGCAUUGCUUCUAGACCGUCUCGUGGCUGCACGGACCCGGGCCGGGGGCUGGGCACGGGAGGAUAG